rnacentral:rRNA from 1 species
AGCAGUCGCCGCGGUAAUACGAAGGGCGCAAGCGUUACUCGGAAUUACUGGGCGUAAAGCGUGCGUAGGUGGUGGUUUAAGUCCGUUGUGAAAGCCCUGGGCUCAACCUGGGAAUUGCAGUGGAUACUGGGUCACUAGAGUGUGGUAGAGGAUAGUGGAAUUUCCGGUGUAGCAGUGAAAUGCGUAGAGAUCGGAAGGAACAUCUGUGGCGAAGGCGACUAUCUGGGCCAACACUGACACUGAGGCACGAAAGCGUGGGGAGCAAACAGGAUUAGAUACCCCAGUAGUCCCUGUCUCUUAUAC